GAUGAACGCCGGCGGUGUGCCUAAUACAUGCAAGUCGAGCGCACUGGCCCAGCAGAAAUGACGUGCUUGCACUGAUUUGACGUUGGAUUCCCAGUGAGCGGCGGACGGGUGAGUAACACGUGGGCAACCUGCCCCAAAGCGGGGGAUAACAUUUGGAAACAGGUGCUAAUACCGCAUAACUUGGAAAACCACAUGGUUUUCCAAUAAAAGAUGGUUUCGACUAUCACUUUGGGAUGGGCCCGCGGUGCAUUAGCUAGUUGGUAAGGUAACGGCUUACCAAGGCGAUGAUGCAUAGCCGAGUUGAGAGACUGAUCGGCCACAAUGGAACUGAGACACGGUCCAUACUCCUACGGGAGGCAGCAGUAGGGAAUCUUCCACAAUGGGCGCAAGCCUGAUGGAGCAACACCGCGUGAGUGAAGAAGGGUUUCGGCUCGUAAAACUCUGUUGUUGGAGAAGAACGUGCGUAAGAGUAA
rnacentral:rRNA from 1 species